rnacentral:rRNA from 1 species
UACGGAGGAUGCAAGCGUUAUCCGGAUUUACUGGGUUUAAAGGGUGCGCAGGCGGAACGACAAGUCAGUGGUGAAAUCUCCUGGCUCAACCAGGAAACUGCCAUUGAUACUAUCGUUCUUGAGUCCAGUUGAAGUAGGCGGAAUGUAGCAUGUAGCGGUGAAAUGCUUAGAUAUGCUACAGAGCACCGAUAGCGAAGGCAGCUUACUAAACUGAAACUGACGCUCAUGCACGAAAGCGUGGGGAUCAAACA